AGAGUUUGAUCAUGGCUCAGGAUGAACGCUAGCGGCAGGCCUAACACAUGCAAGUCGAGGGGUAGCAUUGGUGCUUGCACCAGAUGACGACCGGCGCACGGGUGCGUAACGCGUAUACAAUCUACCUUUUGCUAAGGGAUAGCCCAGAGAAAUUUGGAUUAAUACCUUAUAGUAUGUAGACUUCUCAUGAAGAUUACAUUAAAGAUUACGGCAAAAGAUGAGUAUGCGUCCUAUUAGUUUGUUGGUGUGGUAACGGCACACCAAGACUACGAUAGGUAGGGGCCCUGAGAGGGGGAUCCCCCACACUGGUACUGAGACACUUUCCAGACUCCUACGGGAGGCAGCAGUGAGGAAUAUUGGACAAUGGAGGCAACUCUGAUCCAGCCAUGCCGCGUGCAGGAAGACUGCCCUAUGGGGUUGUAAACUGCUUUUAUACAGGAAG
rnacentral:rRNA from 1 species